rnacentral:pre_miRNA from 1 species
GAAAAAAAUCGGUGAAGCUCAGGAGGGAUAGCGUCAAAUUCCACGUGUAUGAUCACAGUUUGUUUUAGACGCUAUCCAUCCUGAGCUCCAUGGAUUUUUCAU